rfam:Oryza sativa Japonica Group DNA, chromosome 8, cultivar: Nipponbare, complete sequence.
ACUACCUCCGUGCCCAACGUUUGACCGUCCGUCUUAUUUAAAAAUUUUGAAAAUAUUUAGUCACACAUAAAGUAUUAUUCAUGUUUUAUCAUCUAAUAGCAAUAAAAAUACUAAUCAUAAAAAAAUUUCUAAUAAGACGAACGGUCAAACGUUGAACGUGAAUAGUGCAAAACUGCACUUAUU